rnacentral:rRNA from 1 species
GACGAACGCUGGCGGCGUGCCUAAUACAUGAAAGUAGAACGCUGAAGGAGGAGCUUGCUUCUCUGGAUGAGUUGCGAACGGGUGAGUAACGCGUAGGUAACCUGCCUGGUAGUGGGGGAUAACUAUUGGAAACGAUAGCUAAUACCGCAUAAUAGCAGUUGUUGCAUGAUAACUGUUUGAAAGGUGCAAUUGCACCGCUACCAGAUGGACCUGCGUUGUAUUAGCUAGUUGGUGGGGUAACGGCUCACCAAGGCGACGAUACAUAGCCGACCUGAGAGGGUGAUCGGCCACACUGGGACUGAGACACGGCCCAGACUCCUACGGGAGGCAGCAGUAGGGAAUCUUCGGCAAUGGACGGAAGUCUGACCGAGCAACGCCGCGUGAGUGAAGAAGGUUUUCGGAUCGUAAAGCUCUGUUGUAAGAGAAGAACGAGUGUGAGAGUGGAAAGUUCACACUGUGACGGUAUCUUACCAGAAAGGGACGGCUAACUACGUG